UGGAUCCUGGGAAACACUCUGCCCCUCUCCUGGAAAGCAGGCUGGGGGAAGGGAUGAACCUUAGCCUCAGCAGGGAGAAGGAGGCUUUGUGUGUUGAGGGAGGUUCUGGGGUGGUGUGCUUAGAGCUCCCGCUGCGCCCAGAGGGCUAAGGAGUGAGCGUUAGGCUACCCCUCCUCCCCAGGCCACCUUUUACGCUUUUUUUUCUUGCUAGAGAGUAAAGACUCCAGCUGCCAGGACAUUCCCUUAUCAACUUCCUGGGCCUUCCCACAGCCUCCAACAACAUUCCCAAGAGAGCUUGAAUGAGCAUGGACUAUCCCAUUUAAACCAAUGAUUUUAUAAAGGUACAGGAGCAAGGAAGAUGGCUUGUUAAUCACAGAGACCUGACCCACUCCUGUGCAAAGCUUUCCACAUAUUACAUUAUAUAUUAGGCCUAUUAGCACACUAUUUAACUCUUCCAUUAAAUUAUCCAAUAAAAAUAGAAGAACUAGAGGUUUGGUGAAGGAGAACAGAUUGUCACCACAAAAUAUGUCCCUUUGGCAAAAGGAUCAUUUUGAGUUGAAGGCAAUCAAAACCCAAGCAGAUUCAGGAAAAGCUGUUUACAUCCCUCUCAACUGCCUAAAUUUACACUGGAAAGGGGGCCUGUACCAGGAAGAGAGUUGGCGACAAUGAAGGAAGCUUCAUUGGCUGGACAUUGCUCCUUUCAGGACUGCUGCAGCUGAGAGAUCCUGGCCCUCUGACAAAUGCUGGCAGAAGAGUUCCCAGAAGCCUUACCAGGUGAAUAAAGAAGGUCACUUCCUGGCAAGUGCAAGA